GACGAACGCUGGCGGUGUGCUUAACACAUGCAAGUGGUGCGACGAACCAGAGCUUGCUCUGGGGCAAAGCCGCGAACGGGUGAGUAACACGUGGGUAAUCUACCCCGAUGACCGGGACAACCCGAGGAAACUCGGGCUAAUACCGGAUGUGGUACGGAGACAUAAGUCUCUUUACUAAAGGUAGCUUCGGCUUCCGCAUUGGGAGGGGCCCGCGGCCCAUUAGCUAGUUGGUGGGGUCAAGGCCUACCAAGGCAACGAUGGGUAGCUGGUCUGAGAGGACGAUCAGCCACACUGGGACUGAGACACGGCCCAGACUCCUACGGGAGGCAGCAGUGGGGAAUCUUGCGCAAUGCGCGAAAGCGUGACGCAGCAACACCGCGUGAGGGAAGACGGCCUUAGGGUUGUAAACCUCUUUCAGAUGGGACGAAGGUGAUGCGGUGAAUAGCCGAUGUCAUUGACGGUACCGUCAGAAGAAGCUCCGGCUAACUACGUGCCAGCAGCCGGGUAAA
rnacentral:rRNA from 1 species